rnacentral:lncRNA from 1 species
AUCAUAAUAUUUAUCAUAUGAACAAUCAAUUUCACUUGAGAGAACGACGUUUUGUCUUCCACAUUCUAGCUGGGGAAAAAAUGAUAGCACGAGAAUUGUUUUUCUAUUUUUGUGACUUGUUUAUGGAUGCAACAUAAAUCAGCAUCAAAAUAAAAUUGGUUAGUCGUGCAAACCAUUGACACCUCGACUAAGAGUCUGGAUGCAUAAGUAGAUAGCUACUUCGCCAUGAAGGAACUUUUACAGCUACAGCCACCCACCGCACUCGGAUUUGUUGACACCUGCAUUUUAAAAUGG